CAAUUGGUUUUAAUUAGUGUGAUUAUACACAUGUGUUCUCAGAUUGGGACUUAGUUAACAUAGGUCCUAACUGUUGUUAUACAAUUAAAUCCUCUAGGUAUCAUAUCCAUAGGAUACCAUAAGGACUCUGUAUAGAUUUCUGCAUUUUUCACCUGUAUUGUGACUUCUGAGGUCCUCCAUGUGUGCAUGAAGUUGCCGAUUUCUCUUUAUUUCAUACGAAUGCUUCCCUUUUGAGCUCUUCGUAAUCUGAGUUACCAGAUUCACGAGGCUGACUUUAUGCCCUUAUUUCACGCCUCAUUGAUGUUUGGAAGCCCACGUAUGAACCUAUUCGGCCAAUGAUCUAGGCCUAUCACUCUUUUGGAUAGACAUUAU